ACUCCUACGGGAGGCAGCAGUGAGGAAUAUUGGUCAAUGGACGCGAGUCUGAACCAGCCAAGUAGCGUGAAGGAUGACUGCCCUAUGGGUUGUAAACUUCUUUUAUAAGGGAAUAAAGUGAGGGACGUGUCCCUUUUUGUAUGUACCUUAUGAAUAAGGAUCGGCUAACUCCGUGCCAGCAGCCGCGGUAAUACGGAGGAUCCAAGCGUUAUCCGGAUUUAUUGGGUUUAAAGGGAGCGUAGGUUGACAUAUAAGUCAGCUGUGAAAGUUUACGGCUCAACCGUGAAAUUGCAGUUGAUACUGUAUGUCUUGAGUGUACAAGAGGUGGGCGGAAUUCGUGGUGUAGCGGUGAAAUGCUUAGAUAUCACGAAGAACUCCAAUUGCGAAGGCAGCUCACUGGGGUACAACUGACACUGAGGCUCGAAAGUGUGGGUAUCAAACAGGAUUAGAUACCCUGGUAGUC
rnacentral:rRNA from 1 species